AUUGAACGCUGGCGGCAGGCCUAACACAUGCAAGUCGGACGGUAGCACAGAGGAGCUUGCUCCUCGGGUGACGAGUGGCGGACGGGUGAGUAAUGUCUGGGGAUCUGCCCGAUAGAGGGGGAUAACCACUGGAAACGGUGGCUAAUACCGCAUAACGUCGCAAGACCAAAGAGGGGGACCUUCGGGCCUCUCACUAUCGGAUGAACCCAGAUGGGAUUAGCUAGUAGGCGGGGUAACGGCCCACCUAGGCGACGAUCCCUAGCUGGUCUGAGAGGAUGACCGGCCACACUGGAACUGAGACACGGUCCAGACUCCUACGGGAGGCAGCAGUGGGGAAUAUUGCACAAUGGGCGCAAGCCUGAUGCAGCCAUGCCGCGUGUAUGAAGAAGGCCUUCGGGUUGUAAAGUACUUUCAGCGGGGAGGAAGGCGAUGUGGUUAAUAACCGCAUUGAUUGACGUUACCCGCAGAAGAAGCACCGGCUAACUCCGUGCCAGCCGCCGCCGUAA
rnacentral:rRNA from 1 species